rnacentral:rRNA from 1 species
AUUGAACGCUGGCGGCAGGCCUAACACAUGCAAGUCGAACGGUAACAGGAAGCAGCUUGCUGCUUCGCUGACGAGUGGCGGACGGGUGAGUAAUGUCUGGGAAACUGCCUGAUGGAGGGGGAUAACUACUGGAAACGGUAGCUAAUACCGCAUAAUGUCGCAAGACCAAAGAGGGGGACCUUCGGGCCUCUUGCCAUCGGAUGUGCCCAGAUGGGAUUAGCUAGUAGGUGGGGUAACGGCUCACCUAGGCGACGAUCCCUAGCUGGUCUGAGAGGAUGACGAGCCACACUGGAACUGAGACACGGUCCAGACUCCUACGGGAGGCAGCAGUGGGGAAUAUUGCACAAUGGGCGCAAGCCUGAUGCAGCCAUGCCGCGUGUAUGAAGAAGGCCUUCGGGUUGUAAAGUACUUUCAGCGGGGAGGAAGGCGAUAAGGUUAAUAACCUUGUCGAUUGACGUUACCCGCAGAAGAAGCACCGGCUAACUCCGUGCCAGCCGCCGCAGUAA